ACUAAAUAUCAUACAUAUUGCU
rnacentral:ncRNA from 2 species